rnacentral:rRNA from 1 species
UGAGGAAUAUUGCACAAUGGGCGCAAGCCUGAUGCAGCAACGCCGCGUGCGGGACGAAGGCCUUCGGGUCGUAAACCGCUUUUCUGGGGAAGAGCAAGGACGGUACCUCAGGAAUAAGUCUCGGCUAACUACGUGCCAGCAGCCGCGGUAAUACGUAGGCAGCGAGCGUUGUUCGGAGUUACUGGGCGUAAAGGGUGUGUAGGCGGUUCUCUAAGUUUGGUGUGAAAUCUCCCGGCCUAACCGGGAGGGUGCGCCGAAAACUGGGGAGCUAUAGUGCGGUAAGGGAGAGUGGAAUUCCUGGUGUAGCGGUAAAAUGCGUAGAUAUCAGGAGGAACACCGGUGGUGUAGACGGCUCUCUGGACCGUAACUGACGCUGAGACACGAAAGCGUGGGUAGCAAACA